AUCGAACGCUGGCGGCAUGCCUAACACAUGCAAGUCGAACGAGACCUUCGGGUCUAGUGGCGCACGGGUGCGUAACGCGUGGGAAUCUGCCCUUGGGUUCGGAAUAACAGUUGGAAACGACUGCUAAUACCGGAUGAUGACGUAAGUCCAAAGAUUUAUCGCCCAAGGAUGAGCCCGCGUAGGAUUAGCUAGUUGGUGAGGUAAAGGCUCACCAAGGCGACGAUCCUUAGCUGGUCGGAGAGGAUGAUCAGCCACACUGGGACUGCGACACGGCCCAGACUCCUACGGGAGGCAGCAGUGGGGAAUAUUGGACGAGGGGCGAAAGCCUGAUCCAGCAAUGCCGCGUGAGUGAUGAAGGCCUUAGGGUUGUAAAGCUCUUUUACCCGGGAUGAUAAUGACAGUACCGGGAGAAUAAGCUCCGGCUAACUCCGUG
rnacentral:rRNA from 1 species